UGGGGAAUAUUGGACAAUGGGCGCAAGCCUGAUCCAGCAAUGCCGCGUGUGUGAAGAAGGCCUUCGGGUUGUAAAGCACUUUUAUCAGGAAGCGAAACGCUGUCGGCUAAUACCCGGCGGAACUGACGGUACCUGAGGAAUAAGCACCGGCUAACUUCGUGCCAGCAGCCGCGGUAAUACGAAGGGUGCAAGCGUUAAUCGGAAUUACUGGGCGUAAAAGCGUGCGUAGGCGGUUUCCUAAGUCUGCUUGUGAAAUCCCCGGGCUCAACCUGGGAAUGGCAGUGGAUACUGGGAGGCUAGAGUGUGUCAGAAGGGUGGUGGAAUUCCCGGUGUAGCGGUGAAAUGCGUAGAGAUCGGGAGGAACAUCAGUGGCGAAGGCGGCCACCUGGGACAACACUGACGCUGAGGCACGAAAGCGUGGGGAGCAAACAGGAUUAGAUACCCUGGUAGUCCACGCCCUAAACGAUGCGAACUGGAUGUGGUCUCAACUCGGAGAUCAGU
rnacentral:rRNA from 1 species